AUUGAACGCUGGCGGCAUGCUUUACACAUGCAAGUCGAACGGCAGCGGGUCCUUCGGGAUGCCGGCGAGUGGCGAACGGGUGAGUAAUGCAUCGGAACGUACCGUGUAGAGGGGGAUAACUGUGCGAAAGUACAGCUAAUACCGCAUACGCCCUAAGGGGGAAAGCGGGGGAUCUUAGGACCUCGCGUUAUACGAUCGGCCGAUGUCCGAUUAGCUGGUUGGUGAGGUAAAGGCUCACCAAGGCGACGAUCGGUAGCGGGUCUGAGAGGACGAUCCGCCACACUGGAACUGAGACACGGUCCAGACUCCUACGGGAGGCAGCAGUGGGGAAUUUUGGACAAUGGGCGCAAGCCUGAUCCAGCAAUGCCGCGUGAGUGAAGAAGGCCUUUGGGUUGUAAAGCUCCUUCGUUCGGGAAGAAGGAAUAGAUGCUAAUAUCAUCUAUGACAGACGGUACCGGAAUAAGAAGCACCGGCUAACUCCGUGCCAGCCGCCGCCGUAACAC
rnacentral:rRNA from 1 species